CCUACGGGCGGCUGCAGUGGGGAAUAUUGGACAAUGGGCGAAAGCCUGAUCCAGCCAUGCCGCGUGUGUGAAGAAGGCCUUCGGGUUGUAAAGCACUUUCAGUGGGGAAGAAAGCCUUGGGGCUAAUACCCUCGAGGAAGGACAUCACCCACAGAAGAAGCACCGGCUAACUCCGUGCCAGCAGCCGCGGUAAUACGGAGGGUGCGAGCGUUAAUCGGAAUUACUGGGCGUAAAGCGCGCGUAGGCGGUCUGAUAAGCCGGUUGUGAAAGCCCCGGGCUCAACCUGGGAACGGCAUCCGGAACUGUCAGGCUAGAGUGCAGGAGAGGAAGCUAGAAUUCCCGGUGUAGCGGUGAAAUGCGUAGAGAUCGGGAGGAAUACCAGUGGCGAAGGCGGCCUUCUGGACUGACACUGACGCUGAGGUGCGAAAGCGUGGGUAGCAAACAGGAUUAGAUACCCUUGUAGUC
rnacentral:rRNA from 1 species